AGGUCUGUUGAUUUUUUAUUUAUUCUAAAAGUUUUCCAUAUUUUUUAUUUUCCAUUCAGUAUGGAAUGUCCCAUAUUGGAAAAUAUGGCAAAAUCCAUACUCACUAUUUUUGUAUUCCCUGUUUGUGGUAGAAUCUCACCAGUAACGAUAGCAGCAGCAGCAGCAACAACAACGUAAAUGUUAACAACAGUUGUCGCUGCUUCAAACAACAGAAUGAACAGCAACAGCAAACGGCGGCAGCGCAGCUGUUGUCAUAAUGAAAUCAACGUAGCAAAAAUAAAAAUUGAACAACAAAAAAAUAACAACAGGGAAUGAUGAUGAAUUCUAGAGACAGUAGCAAUUGUUGGAUGACGGGGACGUCUACGAUUCUAAACGGCGACGACGGUUACGACGAAAAGCAACGUCGCUGUCGCCGUUGGCGUUGCCAUUGAAAACCGAAGGUAGAGAAGCAAACUAAACUUUCCAUAUGGACUGCUUCGGAUGGCUGUGGCAUUGAGAAUUGAAACCUUUGUGCGAUCGUACAAAACGGAUAUAGAGCAGCGCACUAAAAACACCAGAAUUGCAAGCGUAGUAACAAAAAAAAUAAAAAAAAAAACAGAAACAAGGCAAAGCAACAAACAUUCAAACAACAUAUAGCAGUGGUAGUAAUUGCCAAAAGAAACAAAAGUGAAACAGAAAAUAAAGCGGAAGAAAAAAACAUGACAAAAAAUAAAAUUGCCAAAAUAAGGAGAAAAAAAUAAUUUCGAAAAAAGUGAAAAUAUUUACAAGAAUACAAAUUUAUAAAAUCUAAUAACAAAACAAACAAUAAUAACACACAAAUUUUGUUCCAAAACCCUACCUUCCAAGAAAAAUGGCAACAAAUUGCGUCGUAAUCUAAAUUUCGAAAGAAAACUUUUGCCCAACCACUGAAAUCGAUAGUGAAUACCUAGUUGUUGUUCGUUUCUUACUCUGCUUGUAAUAUACCCAGAGAUCCAGUUGAUUGAUGCUUGAUGACUGUACAAAAUUAUGUUGAUGGGAGAAAAAGAAGAAGAAAAAACACAAAACAAAGAACAAAAAUAACAACACCAUACCAUGCCGUUGGUAGGAAAAAAUAAUGGAAAUUCGAUUAUAGCUGAGUGAGCUGAAACAACAACAAAUGACGACGGUGGCGGCGGCAACGAUAACGGCGGAUAUUAAAAAAUACAUGGCUGCUAAUUCAAUAACUAACUAUCAACAAACAUGUAACAAACAUACACACACACACUCGUAUAGCCAUAACUGAAUGGGUAUAUAAUGUGUCAUAUAUUGGCUUUGGGUAUAUAUGCAUAGCUAAAUAUAUAUAUUCUCCAUAUAUAUGUGUGUGUGUUUGUGUGUGAUUUGAAAUGACGACAGCAAGUCAUUAAGGACGACUAGUUGAAAUACUGCUGCUCUAAACAAACCAAAGCAAAGCUGAAGAAAAACAACACGCAAAACAACAUCAGCCUACACACCCAUACCCACACACAUAUGCCGUUGUAUAUGUAUGUGUCAAUAUAGGUUAAUUUUCAAUCGAGCUGUAUCCUUACCACCACCCCCACAGCUGCUGCUGCUGCACUAAUGGCUGCUCCACUGUGAGGAGGGAUUGGGGCAGCAAUGCAUUUUAAUGUCAAACGUCUCUGGGUUUGGUUGGGCAAUGCCCAUCUGGCCAUGGCAACUGCGCAACUGCACUUGAACCUGAAAUUCCAUUUUUUUGUGGUGGGAGGAUCCCCCAAAUGCUUUUACUCUUCCUCUCUCACCCCUCCCCGCUACUCCUUCACAAUUAUUUAUCUGACCUGGACGUCAUUGGAUGGGUGGUGAUUGUGGGCUUUUUACCUUGCCCCAAGGGUUGUAAUCGAUUGCAAUGAAAGUGAAAUCUCGUUGCUGCUCCCAAAUGAAAGUAUCCCGAAUGUACAGGACAAUGCAUGGAAGGAUGGCAAGGAAAAUGGCAAAACAUGUCCAGAUACAUAAAAGAUGUGCAGUUUUUUCUUGGAAGGAGAAUUCAACAAAAAUUAAAGAGAGAGAGAGAGAGAGAGAGUGAGCGAGAGAGAAGAAGUUAAGGACUAGCAAAUGGGUAAGUUGUCAACAAUUUUGUUUUAAUUAUUUAUAAAAAUAUUAUUUUUCUAAUUUUAAAAACUAUUUGAAAAUAAUUCUUGGGAGAAAUAAACAAAGAGAGUUUCAUUCUCCUUUUGACUCUCCAUUAUUUUCUGUCUCUCUCUCCUAAAUUUAGAGAGAAAGUUCCUGCUUUCAAAAUAUUCCCCUAAAAGCUUUUUCAAUACUGAUGAAAAUCAAUUUUCUUUGCGUUUUCCAAUCUGAAUCAAGUGUGUGUGGGUGGCAUUUCCACACGCACACACACAUACACAGAGUCCCUAUCUUUCUGUGUAUCAGUGGACGUGUAUGUGCUCUUGAAUAUCUGUGUGUGAUAUCUGUGUUUUUCCUGCCAACGUCCUUCAGAACAAAAACAAAUCCUGUUGUUUUGUUGUCCUUAUGCCUGCCUGGCUGGCUGGCUCGCUCGCUCGCUGGUUGCCUGGCUGGCUCAUCAACUCCACAGCGUAUCCAGAUGAACAAAGCCUUUGUGGCAUCAGCACCAUACAGGUGUUGAUGCCGUAAAUUAAAAUAGAUUUUCAAGUGAUUGUGUUGUUGUUCUUUUUAUUUUUAUUAUUAUUUUUUUUAAUGGUGAUGGUGUUGUGCAAAACACAAAAAGUUUCAAAUUACCAAAAACGGAAAGUGUUCAAGUUAUUUUCGUAACAAAAAUAAAAAAACAGAAAACAUAAAUAGAAUUCGCCGCCAUAUAAAAAUAAAACUAAAGUGCCACCGAUAUUUGAAAAAAGAAAACGAAACUGGAAAAUGUUUGUAUAAUAACACGUCAUCAUUUUCAAGACACCAAAACAUCAAAAAAAGGUGAUGGUAGAACAAAAACUACACUAUUUUGAAAUUUAAUAUCCAGAACCUUAAAUAAUUUACAUAAUUAAUUUAAAACAAAAAAAAACACACAAGUAAGACAUUUCAAGGUCAUUUAUUUUAGCAUAUGUUUAACAAAGCAAAGAAAAACCAUAAAAAAAUUUGGAAAAGCGUUUUGUUUUAUUGCCAUGGCCCGUUUUAUUUGUAUCUCCAUCUCCUAGCCACAUCAUUCGCUGGACUUCGUUUUUAUUCCUUUAGUAUCAGUUUUUCUCACAUGCCCACUUGUUGCCCCUUCUUCUAUGGCAUUGAGCGUAUUUUGUAGUACGUGUUGUGUGUUAUGUGAGUGAGUGACUAACUGAGUUUACCGAAAUAAAACCGAAUAUCCUCAAAGUGAAGCGCAAAAAAAAGAACACUUCGUUCGUCGACCAUUUUUGAUGUGAUGGAGGGAACCUCUUUACCUGAAAAGAACACAAUAAAACCAAAAUUGGUGAAAAACGUGACUACAUAUAGAAGCGUAUAAGUGUAUGUAUUUAGGCAUAUUUAUAGUAUUUAUAUAUCCGUACAAAAAUACUAUGCCAUAAAAAGGCUCGUGGUAAAGAAGUUAAAACGUAAUUAAUUUGGGAUGUGUCAAACGUUUUAUACCCUCCACCAUAAAAAUAUUUGAUUCGCCUUAACAAAGCAAAACUGAACAAGUAAACAAGUUAAAAAGCAGUAAGUUCGGCCGGGCCGAACUUUGAAUACCCUCCACCAUUUAGAAUGAAUUUUGGGAUAAAAUCCUUAAAAAAAAUUGUUAACAUUUAAAAAUACCGAAUAUAGCCGUUAUAUUGGUGUCUAUACGACGUGGACCUACAUAGGCAUUUGCCAUUAGUCAUUAUCAUAUUUAAAUUUGAAACUUGAAAUAAGGCUGUAGCAUUUAUUACGAACUUCAAAUACGCGUCUCAAACAAUUUCGGUGGGUAUUGUACCUAAACUCGUAAAAAUACCAAAUAUAAGGAGGUACUGGUAUGUGGGGCUUACACGAAGACCUGGACCUGCAUAUACAAUUUUCUGUCACAGACUGUGGUUCCCAUUACGAACUCUAAAUACGUAAUUUGAAACAAUUCCGGUGAAUAAUGACGCUAAAAUCAUCAAAAUACUGAAUAUAGGGAGGUACAGUUAUGUGGGGGCUAUACGAAGACCUGGACCUGCAUAUAAAAUUUUCUGUCACAGACUGUAGUUCCCAUUACGAACUCUAAAUACGUAAUUUCAAACAAUUCCGGUGAAUAAUGACGCUAAAAUCAUCAAAAUACCGAAUAUUGGGAGGUACCGUUAUAUGGGGGGCUAUAUGAAAACUUGGACCUGCAUACAAAAAUAGGCUGUAGUACCCAUUACGAACUCAAAAUACUCAAAUUUUAAAUAAUUCCGGAGAAUAACGUUGCUAAAAUCAUGAAAAUACCGAAUAUCGGAAGGAACCGUUAUAUGGGGACGAAAUACGAAAACGUGGACCGACAUGGCCCAUUUACGAGGUUAACCUGCUUACAGUUAAACUAUGCAUGUAUGCAAAAUUUUAGGCUUCUAUCUCAAUUCGUUCGAAAGAUGGCGUGAUUACAGACAGAGAGGCGAACAUCGCUAGAUCGUCUUAGAAUUUUACGCUGAUGCAGAAUAUACUUUGUAUGAAUAUUUCGGAUAGUUACAAACGGAAUGACAAAAUUAAUAUACCCUGCAUAGAAUGGUGGAGGGUGUAAAAAUUAAGAAUAUAAAUUAUUUCAAAUCCUACAAGCCGAGCGGUGUUAAGAUGUGCUUAAAAUGUAAUUGUGCUGUACUAAAAAUCUCCUGCAAAAGUUUGCCUCCAAACAAGAAAUAUAUGUGCGAUUCUGUAUAAUCUAAGCGCUAUAAUUGUUUACCUUUUGGACGGAUAAAUGAAAUUUAAUAAUCAUAUCUUUGUUGGGCAGAUAAAAUCGGUCCAGCUUGGUUUUGGUUAUUAUAACCUCAUCCGUAUGGCUACUGAUCUUUAUUGUUAUUUUAAAAACUCAGUUUUCGCACGAUAAAUCUUAUAUCAUCCUUAUAUUUUUGACAAACUUCGAUCAAGUUCAGAGAUGGGCAGUACUGGCCCAGUUCUUCUCUUUCUGGUACCCCUACAA